AUUGAACGCUGGCGGCAGGCCUAACACAUGCAAGUCGAGCGGAUGAAGGGAGCUUGCUCCUGGAUUCAGCGGCGGACGGGUGAGUAAUGCCUAGGAAUCUGCCUGGUAGUGGGGGAUAACGUCCGGAAACGGGCGCUAAUACCGCAUACGUCCUGAGGGAGAAAGUGGGGGAUCUUCGGACCUCACGCUAUCAGAUGAGCCUAGGUCGGAUUAGCUAGUUGGUGGGGUAAAGGCCUACCAAGGCGACGAUCCGUAACUGGUCUGAGAGGAUGAUCAGACAGACUGGAACUGAGACACGGUCCAGACUCCUACGGGAGGCAGCAGUGGGGAAUAUUGGACAAUGGGGGAAAGCCGGAUCCAGCAAUGCCGCGUGUGUGAAGAAGGUGUUCGGAUUGUAAAGCACUUUAAGUUGGGAGGAAGGGCAGUAAGUUAAUACCUGGCUGUUUUGACGUUACCAACAGAAUAAGCACCGGCUAACUUCGUG
rnacentral:rRNA from 1 species